AGCGUCCCUCCCGCCCCGCCGCUCACAGCGCCAUCGCAAGUGGCUAAGCCGCUUGUCAAUCAAGUCCCAGGCGCGCCUCCCCGGUCUCCUGUUGAAAAUUGGUGGGGUACGCCGCCAACGUUUUACCCAGAAGGCGUUGCUGCUUAUAGACGUCACAAUGAUGCCGGGGAGAGGAACGUCGCGGCUCAGGGCAAAUUGCCGCGCUGAUUGUUGACGUAAUAAGAGCCCGCCCGUCCUAGAGUCUCAUUGGCUGCAGCCUUGUAGCGCAUCCUCCCUAGGAUAUGAAUACGAAAGCAAUAAAGUCGUCGUUUUAGGAGGGAUGAAUCUGAAGCUAUCAGUCAAGGGCAUUUUAUACAACGGACAGAAAAGCUUCAUGUUCUGGAGGUCGCAUAUUUGAAUGGCCUCACAUAGAGAAGGCUCUGCUCACAGAAAAUUGAAGCACACGGGAGCACCGUUCAGAAUAGCCUUCUUGACAUUAAUACACCCCCCCCUUCUCCUUUCUACGAGUAGGGAGCUCUUUACACUCGAGUAUGUCUUCACACAAGUCAUUGCUGUACUGUACUAUGGAAUUGGCUAUCACAAGGUAAUAGUUAUGGGCAUCACAUCACCAGGAUUUGACAAACGCAUGAAAACUGAAGCCAUCAAUAGCUACUGGACAUAGUAUAUGUCUCUUCAUUACAUCCAGUACCUGGCCGUAUGCUCUUGACUGAUAGCUUGUGAACACAUGAGGGGAAAAACCUGACAGCAGGAAUUUGCUACAUCAGUGCAUGCUUACUUUGCAAUUGUUUGGAGGUCUCUGAAGAUGAAAAAUAACCCACUGUGAUGCAAGGGCUUUAGACCUGGACUAGCCAAGAUUUUGGAUUUGGAUACCUGGAGCCCACUGAGUGUAUUUCGUGUCAUAGUUACAAGAUAAAAACCUGUCUUCGCACAAUGAAUUGGUAACACCCCAGAGGGCUGCACAGGAUUUUUAUACUGGAAAAGUACAAACAACAGACAAGGAAUUUUUGUCAAGUUGCUUGAAAGUAAACAUUACAGAAAAUGGAAAAA